rnacentral:rRNA from 1 species
AGAGUUUGAUCAUGGCUCAGGACGAACGCUGGCGCGCGCCUAAUACAUGCAAGUCGAGCGAGAAGCGGGACUUCGGUCCCGUGGAAAGCGGCGAACGGGUGCGUAACACGUGAGCAACCUGCCCCGAAGACCGGGACAAGCCGGGGAAACCUGGUCUAAUACCGGAUGCCCUCACCGGAUCGCAUGGUCUGGUGAGGAAA